rnacentral:rRNA from 1 species
UACGUAGGGGGCUAGCGUUGUUCGGAUUUACUGGGCGUAAAGGGCGCGUAGGCGGCCAGCACAAGUCAGUUGUGAAAUCUCCGAGCUUGACUCGGAACGGUCAACUGAUACUGUGCGGCUAGAGUGCGGAAGGGGCAACUGGAAUUCUUGGUGUAGCGGUGAAAUGCGUAGAUAUCAAGAGGAACACCUGCGGCGAAGGCGGGUUGCUGGGCCGACACUGACGCUGAGGCGCGAAAGCCAGGGGAGCGAACGGG